GGCGGCAUGCUUAACACAUGCAAGUCGAACGCUCCUGAAGGCUUCGGCCUUCUGGGGAGUGGCGCACGGGUGAGUAGCGCGUGGGAACCUGCCCUGUUGUGGGGGAUAACCGAGGGAAACUUCGGCUAAUACCGCAUGCGCCCGGGCAACCGGGGAAAGAUUUAUCGCAGCAGGAGGGGCCCGCGUCGGAUUAGCUUGUUGGUGGGGUAACGGCCUACCAAGGCGAUGAUCCGUAGCUGGUCUGAGAGGAUGAUCAGCCACACUGGGACUGAGACACGGCCCAGACUCCUACGGGAGGCAGCAGUGGGGAAUAUUGGACAAUGGGCGAAAGCCUGAUCCAGCAAUGCCGCGUGAGUGAGGAAGGCCUUAGGGUUGUAAAGCUCUUUCGGCGGGGACGAUGAUGACGGUACCCGCAGAAGAAGCCCCGGCUAACUUCGUGCCAGCAGCCGCGGUAAUACNAAGGGGGCGAGCGUUGUUCGGAUUUACUGGGCGUAAAGGGCGCGCAGGCGGCUAUUUUGGUCAGGCGUGAAAGCCCCGGGCUUAACCUGGGAACUGCGCUUGAAACGGGAUGGCUA
rnacentral:rRNA from 1 species